AUGGAAGAUGUGAAUGCAGCAUUGAGAGCGAUCCCUACCACAACAAUCACAGAAACCAAUGAGCUGAUAUACGCUUCAGCAUCAGUGAUCCUAGAGGUGCUUGGCUAUAAGAGCAACCAUGGGAGCCAUGAGAAACAAUACCCACCAUGGAAACGAAGGUUGGAGGCAAAAAUCAAGGCAGCUCGGAGGGAAGUGAGCCAAAUGACAGAGGCCCAGAGAGGUGCAAUGAAAAGACCAAUGCCUAAGAGGUACAGCCAGAUGACCAUACCUGAAGCACUCGAAACUGCCAAGCAAAGGCUACAAGCCUUGGCCAGCCGCCUAAAGAGAUACACCAGAGAUAACGAAGCCAGCGGAAUAAACCGGCUGUUCGCAACACAACCUGCGAAAGUGUACUCUCAAUGGCAGGGUAAUAACAGCAGAGCAAACCCACCAAGGCUGGAAACUGAACAGUACUGGAAGGGCAUAUGGGAAAGGGAGGCAUCACACAACAGUGAUGCACAGUGGCUGGUGGAUCUGAGGGAAGACCACAGCAACCUCCCUGAACAGAAUCCAGUGACUAUCACAGUGGCAGACAUCCAACAUAGAGUCUCAUGUAUGAAAAACUGGACAGCACCUGGCCCUGACAUGAUCCACGCCUACUGGCUAAAGAAGCUCACUGCAAUCCAUGAGCGCCUGGCAGCACAAAUGAACCAGCUGCUAAGGGAUGGGACUCACCCUGAAUGGCUAACCGAAGGGCAAACGAUCCUGAUAAUGAAGGAUCCCUCAAAGGGUGCAGUCCCACCCAACUACCGUCCAAUAACCUGCCUCUCCACAACAUGGAAGCUCAUGUCAGGCAUCAUCGCAGCUAAGAUAAAUGGGCACAUGGGUCAACACAUGAGCGAAGCACAGAAGGGCAUUAGUAAGGAUACCAGAGGAGCCAAACACCAACUCCUGGUUGACAGAACAGUCGACACAGCAGAAUGCGACACACCAACCUGUGCACAGCCUGGAUCGACUACAAGAAAGCCUAUGACUCAAUGCCACACACAUGGAUCACUGAAUGCUUGGAGCUGUACAACAUCAACAGAACUCUAA
rnacentral:lncRNA from 1 species